rnacentral:rRNA from 1 species
UACGGAGGGUGCAAGCGUUACUCGGAAUCACUGGGCGUAAAGAGCGCGUAGGCGGGAUAGCAAGUCAGAUGUGAAAUCCUAUGGCUUAACCAUAGAACUGCAUUUGAAACUGUUAUUCUAGAGUAUGGGAGAGGUAGGUGGAAUUCUUGGUGUAGCGGUGAAAUGCAUAGAUAUCACGCAGAACUCCGAUUGCGAAGGCAGCAUACCGGCGCGCAACUGACGCUCAUGCACGAAAGCGUGGGUAUCGAACAGG